GGGGGUUAUCCCUAACGCUCCAACAGUCUUUCAUUCUCACUUAGAGAAGAUCGACGCAUGUGGUGGGAGUAGUGGGAGGUCCUAGGGUAGGCGCUUUCACUGUAGGCCUAUACCGCGGUAACGGACUAGCCUUGUGUAUGGUCGGUGGAACCCCUCGGUAAUGGCUUUGCAAAGCAGUAGGGCCAUCACAAGUGCACAACCCGCC
rnacentral:lncRNA from 1 species